CAGUAGCCGCGGUAAUACGUAGGUGGCAAGCGUUGUCCGGAAUUAUUGGGCGUAAAGCGCGCGCAGGCGGUUUCUUAAGUCUGAUGUGAAAGCCCCCGGCUUAACCGGGGAGGGUCAUUGGAAACUGGGAGACUUAGAGUGCAGAAGAGGAGAGUGGAAUUCCAUGUGUAGCGGUGAAAUGCGUAGAUAUAUGGAGGAACACCAGUGGCGAAGGCGACUCUCUGGUCUGUAACUGACGCUGAGGCGCGAAAGCGUGGGGAGCAAACAGGAUUAGAUACCCCAGUAGUCCCUGUCUCUUAUA
rnacentral:rRNA from 1 species